CGUGAGAAUCUGCCUUCAGGUUCGGGACAACCACUGGAAACGGUGGCUAAUACCGAAUGUGCCGCAACGUGAAAGAUUUAUCGCCUGAAGAUGAGCUCGCGUCCGAUUAGCUAGUUGGUGAGGUAAAAGCUCACCAAGGCGACGAUCGGUAGCUGGUCUGAGAGGAUGACCAGCCACACUGGGACUGAGACACGGCCCAGACUCCUACGGGAGGCAGCAGUGGGGAAUUUUCCGCAAUGGGCGCAAGCCUGACGGAGCAAGACCGCGUGAGGGAGGAAGGCUCUUGGGUUGUAAACCUCUUUUCUCAGGGAAGAAGAAAGUGACGGUACCUGAGGAAUCAGCCUCGGCUAACUCCGUGCCAGCAGCCGCGGUAAUACGGAGGAGGCAAGCGUUAUCCGGAAUUAUUGGGCGUAAAGCGUCCGUAGGUGGUUAUGUAAGUCUGCUGUCAAAGCACAGGGCUUAACCCUGUAAAGGCAGUGGAAACUACAAGACUCGAGUGCGGUAGGGGCAGAGGGAAUUCCCAGUGUAGCGGUGAAAUGCGUAGAGAUUGGGAAGAACACCUGUGGCGAAAGCGCUCUGCUGGACCGCAACUGACACUCAGGGACGAAAGCUAGGGGAGCGAAUGGGAUUAGAUACCCCAGUAGUCCUAGCCGUA
rnacentral:rRNA from 1 species